GGGGUUGUGGCUCAGUUGUAGAGUGCUUGCCUGGCAUGUGUGAGGCCCUGGGUUCGAUUCUCAGCACCA
rnacentral:tRNA from 1 species